rnacentral:rRNA from 1 species
AUUGAACGCUGGCGGCAUGCCUUACACAUGCAAGUCGAACGGCAGCACGGGAGCAAUCCUGGUGGCGAGUGGCGAACGGGUGAGUAAUAUAUCGGAACGUGCCCAGUCGUGGGGAUAACGUAGCGAAAGCUACGCUAAUACCGCAUACGAUCUAUGGAUGAAAGCGGGGGAUCGCAAGACCUCGCGCGAUUGGAGCGGCCGAUAUCAGAUUAGGUAGUUGGUGAGGUAAAGGCUCGCCAAGCCGACGAUCUGUAGCUGGUCUGAGAGGACGACCAGCCACACUGGGACUGAGACACGGCCCAGACUCCUACGGGAGGCAGCAGUGGGGAAUUUUGGACAAUGGGCGCAAGCCUGAUCCAGCAAUGCCGCGUGCAGGAUGAA